rnacentral:misc_RNA from 1 species
GAUGAAGAACGUAGCGAAAUGUGAUAAGUAAUGUGAAUUGCAGAAUUCAGUGAAUCAUCGAAUCUUUGAACGCACAUUGCGCCCGUCAGUAUUCUGGCGGGCAUGCCUGUUCGAGCGUCAUUACGCCCCUCAAGUCCCCUGUGGACUUGGUGUUGGGGAUCGGCGAGGCUGGUUUUCCAGCACAGCCGUCCCUUAAAUUAAUUGGCGGUCUCGCCGUGGCCCUCCUCUGCGCAGUAGUAAAACACUCGCAACAGGAGCCCGGCGCGGUCCACUGCCGUAAAACCCCCCAACUUUUUAUAGUUGACCUCGAAUCAGGAAGGACUACCCGCUGAACUUAAGCAUAUCAAUAAGCGGAGGA